CCCCUAGAUGUUCUGGGCCGCACGCGCGCUACACUGAACAGUUCAACAAGUCUUAACCUUGGCCGAUAGGUCUGGGUAAUCUUUGAACGCUGUUCGUGAUUGGGAUAGACCUUUGCAAUUAUGGGUCUUCAACGAGGAAUUCCUAGUAAACGCAAGUCAUCAGCUUGCAUUGAUUACGUCCCUGCCCUUUGUACACACCGCCCGUCGCUACUACCGAUUGAAUGGUUUAGUGAGGCCUUCGGAUCCGCGACUCGUUUGUGGAGAAGUUGGACAAACUCAGUCAUUUAGAGGAAGUAAAANUCGUANCA
rnacentral:rRNA from 1 species